UACGGGGGGGGCAAGCGUUGUUCGGAAUUACUGGGCGUAAAGGGUUAGUAGGUGGCCAACUAAGUCAGACGUGAAAUCCCUCAGCUUAACUGGGGAACUGCGUCUGAGACUGAUUGGCUCGAGGACAGGAGAGGAACGCGGAAUUCCAGGUGUAGCGGUGAAAUGCGUAGAUAUCUGAAGGAACAUCAGUGGCGAAAGCGACUUCCUGGACCAAUACUGACGCUCAUGUGCGAAAGCGUGGGGAGCAAACAGG
rnacentral:rRNA from 1 species